GACGAACGCUGGCGGCGUGCUUAACACAUGCAAGUCGAACGGAAAGGCCCUGCUUUUGUGGGGUGCUCGAGUGGCGAACGGGUGAGUAACACGUGAGUAACCUGCCCUUGACUUUGGGAUAACUUCAGGAAGCUGGGGCUAAUACCGGAUAGGAGCUCCUGCUGCAUGGUGGGGGUUGGAAAGUUUCGGCGGUUGGGGAUGGACUCGCGGCUUAUUAGCUUGUUGGUGGGGUAGUGGCUUACCAAGGCUUUGACGGGUAGCCGGCCUGAGAGGGUGACCGGCCACAUUGGGACUGAGAUACGGCCCAGACUCCUACGGGAGGCAGCAGUGGGGAAUAUUGCACAAUGGGCGGAAGCCUGAUGCAGCAACGCCGCGUGCGGGAUGACGGCCUUCGGGUUGUAAACCGCUUUCGCCUGUGACGAAGCGUGAGUGACGGUAAUGGGUAAAGAAGCACCGGCUAACUACGUG
rnacentral:rRNA from 1 species